GGAAUUAGGCGUGUGAAACAGGUGUCACGUCCAGCUUCAGAGGGCUUCACCUGCGGGGGAAGGAAGCCAGCUGCUACAUCUGGAUCCCUAAGGAGAAGACCAUGGGGUGAGAUACUGAACCCACCAGCUAACAGUCCUUUGGAAGAAGCUCAGAAAAUUCUCCAGAGCCAAUCAUAGUGCUAUAGUAAAAAAUAGCAAAGGUUUGAAACAAACUCCACACCAUGGAAGAGGGAAGAGAGAAGGGGACAAGAGCUGCUGAAAACCUCAGAGAUGCAAACUCUUCAUUUCUCAUUCAAAUCAGAUUAAGUACAUCAUUGGGAACGGGAAUGAUAUUGCAGAAAUUCACUGCUUACUCCACUUUGCUAGAGAUAAAGACUCAGUUAAAGGAGGCAUACUAACAAUUGGUUAAGUUGGAAUUAAUUCAUGGUUAGCAUUACUACAAAGAAAACAAGACAACAUGUUAUGUUAUUAGUUAAUUGUUCAUUCACUGGUAUGACACAAAUAUGCAGCACACUAAAUGAAGGGUUUGCUUCAGGUAACAAAAUACCCAUGUGGUGUUGCCAUGCACUCUAUUACAAAUAUGGCACAGACAGGUGACGGGGACAAACAGACAAGGACUCAACAGUAGUGCUUGUACCUUUCUCUACCACAAUGGACCGAAACACCAAAACAGGAAAGCCAGGAAUAGGCCGAUGAAUACGGCUGGGACGGGUUGUAAUAUGGAGGGCUAAAGAAGGGAAGGGAUAUUAAAAUCAUUUUAUGCUAUGAAAAAAAAAAUCAGAUAAGAUGAUUUAGACCCGAGGGGGUUGGGAAGAAGGGAAGGAAG